CCUACGGGUGACAGCAGUGAGGAAUAUUGGUCAAUGGGCGCGAGCCUGAACCAGCCAAGUAGCGUGAAGGAUGACUGCCCUACGGGUUGUAAACUUCUUUUAUAUGGGAAUAAAGUGAGGCACGUGUGGGUUUUUGUAUGUACCUUAUGAAUAAGGAUCGGCUAACUCCGUGCCAGCAGCCGCGGUAAUACGGAGGAUCCGAGCGUUAUCCGGAUUUAUUGGGUUUAAAGGGAGCGUAGAUGGGUUGUUAAGUCAGUUGUGAAAGUUUGCGGCUCAACCGUAAAAUUGCAUUUGAAACUGGCAGUCUUGAGUACAGUAGAGGUAGGCGGAAUUCGUGGUGUAGCGGUGAAAUGCUUAGAUAUCACGAAGAACUCCGAUUGCGAAGGCAGCUUACUGAACUGCAACUGACACUGAGGCUCGAAAGUGUGGGUAUCAAACAGGAUUAGAUACCCGAGUAGUC
rnacentral:rRNA from 1 species